GAAAUGCGAUAAGUAAUGCGAAUUGCAGAAUUCCAGUGAGUCAUCGAAUCUUUGAACGCACAUUGCGCCCUUUGGUAUUCCGAAGGGCAUGCCUGUUCGAGCGUCAUUAUCACCCCUCAAGCCCCCGGGCUUGGUGUUGGACGGUUUGGUGGAGGCCCCCCUCGUCGGGGUCGCUGCCCCUCCCAAAGACAAUGACGGCGGCCUCGUUGGACCCCCGGUACACUGAGUUCUUCACGGGACACGUACUGGACACAAGGGUGCGCGGGGCACGGUCUGCCUCCCCUCUAGGGAGAAUUAUCUCAAGGUUGACCUCGGAUCAGGUAGGGAUACCCGCUGAACUUAAGC
rnacentral:misc_RNA from 1 species